UUGCUAUGUUGAAUAAAAUCUGGUGUAGCUCCUGAAUCUCUCCCAUGCUUCACCAAAACUCUCAUUGCUAUGUUGAGUGAAGCUAGAGAUUUUAUUUCUUAGCUU
rfam:Eutrema salsugineum unplaced genomic scaffold scaffold_2, whole genome shotgun sequence.